rnacentral:rRNA from 1 species
GAUGAACGCUGGCGGCGUGCUUAACACAUGCAAGUCGAACGGAAAGGCCCAAGCUUGCUUGGGUACUCGAGUGGCGAACGGGUGAGUAACACGUGGGUGAUCUGCCCUGCACUUCGGGAUAAGCCUGGGAAACUGGGUCUAAUACCGGAUAGGACCACAUUUUGGAUGGUGUGGUGGAAAGUUUUUCGGUGUGGGAUGAGCUCGCGGCCUAUCAGCUUGUUGGUGGGGUAAUGGCCUACCAAGGCGUCGACGGGUAGCCGGCCUGAGAGGGCGUACGGCCACAUUGGGACUGAGAUACGGCCCAGACUCCUACGGGAGGCAGCAGUGGGGAAUAUUGCACAAUGGGCGCAAGCCGGAUGCAGCGACGCCGCGUGGGGGAUGACGGCCUUCGGGUUGUAAACUCCUUUCGCUAGGGACGAAGCGUUAUGUGACGGUACCUGGAGAAGAAGCACCGGCUAACUACGUG